rnacentral:lncRNA from 1 species
GGCCAAGAGGACCAAGAGAAACAAAGUGGAGCAGAUCACUGAUGCAGGUCAUAAAUGUCCCUCUACAUCUGUGGAAUUCUCUGGGAUGGCAGUUCAGGGGACAUCUCACCAGGGACAAUCUAAUGAGAAGAUCCUAAGUGAGUGUGUCUCCAGGGCCUGUCAGACCAGGGCUCUUGACCUCCCGCCAAUCGAUCCGGAUGCUUUCAACCCGAUUAUCAUCCGGUUUCUGGAAAAACUUACUGAGGAGCAAUGGAGGCAGUUAAGCAUUGGCAGGAUGGACCCUGUGAUGAGGGCAUUGCUUGCAGAGAUGUGCCUGGAGAUUGUGCGGUUUGUAUCUGAGGCCAUCCUGGAGGUCAUCAUCCCUGCAAUUUUCCGUUUUGUACGGAUAUACAGCCAUGUGUCUCCAGUAUCCAGCAAGUCUCUGACAGAAUCAGAGAGAUCCUCUAGCACAAACCUGAAGGUUCGCAAGAGAGGCAGCAGCAAAUCCUCAAGGUGUUGCACGGCCAAAUCAAGCUCCUCACGUAAUGGGUCUCAGACAGUGUUGUCAAAUACUCAGGGAGAUGGUGAGUCGAUAUCAUCUGAGCCACUCAGUGACUUUUUUGGGAUCACUGAGGACAGUCUCCUCACUGGUGUCCAGGAUUCCUUCAAAGAGUCGCUGAACAAUGUCCUCUGUAUCCAAAGAGAGGACCAGGUAGACACUCAAAGUCUAUCCCGGGUUAUUGUUGGAGAAGUGUCAAAGAAGGUCAAUUCCAUAAUCUCUGUGGCCAUCCAAACUCCCAUCUGUGGCCGAAUGUCCCCUGUUAUUUUUGCCAGUGGUGGUGUCUCCAGAACCAAGGUUGUUGAGGAGAUGGUGUCUGGCGUUUCCAACAUACUUCAGAUGUAUAUUAAUGGGAAGAGUGUUGAGCAGAUUGUUGUUCUCAGAGAGGAUGGUGUUGAGGUGGAUAUGACACAUUUAACAGGACAGGUCAUGACAGCCCUCAGUGGCACUAUUUUGAACUUCAGCAAUAAGGAAGAAAAUGACCCCGACAAGAGGGAACUGCUUUGUGUUGUUGCUGACCAUAUGAAGAUGCUUGAAGCUUGUAAAAGUCCUGAGGAGAUGCUAAAACAAGGAGAGAGCAACCUCAAUAUCAAAGGUGCCAAAUCUAGUCUUCGUCUGUCAACACAAAGUAUGGAUAGACUACUCACUGAGGAGUUUCAGACCAAGGCCACUGAAUCGAUCCGGGAGAUUGUUAAAAGAUUCAGGGGUUGUACAUCAUGUUGUUCUGGCACUACAUCAUCUUGUCCAACUCCUCGGAUAGGUGAGAUCAGUGACCUUAUGAUUGACCCUGAGGCCUCUGAGUUGGUAAGUACCUUUGUUUCAGACAUGGACAAUCUUACCCAGUCUAUCAGGGCAUCCUGCUCUCCUGCACAGAGUGAGCAGAUCCUUCUUGAAAACCAUCAGAAUAAGAUCUGGUCUUACACUGUUGGCUGUUACUACGACAUGAAAAAUACGCUGAAGAGGAUUCUUACCUGUCCAGAAAAAGGGUAUCUCGCAAGUACAUUUGUGGAGAGCACAAAAGAUUAUUUCACAAUGGUUCCAACUUUGUGCCUAGACAUCGGUCAUUCCAGUAAUGGUGAGGCUGACACAUCGGACUCCAUUUCUUGUAAACCACUUUUAAUAACCCCCUCAUCUAUGAAUGAACAAAAAGGACAAAGUGAGACCCCAAAACCUCUCUUGGCUCUCAAAAAGUAUUUGCAAGACCAUGUCCUCCU